UGUCCGAUGGUGUAAUGGCAGCACAGGAGAUUUUGGUUCUCUUAGUCUAGGUUCGAAUCCUGGUCGGACAACAA
rnacentral:tRNA from 1 species